rnacentral:tRNA from 1 species
GGGCUCAGUGAUAGAGCAUCUGCUUUUCAUGUAGAAAGCCCCAGGUUUCAAUCCCCAGUAUCUCCA